AGGAUGAACGCUGGCGGCGUGCCUAAUACAUGCAAGUCGAGCGGUAAGGUCCCUUCGGGGAUACACGAGCGGCGGACGGCUGAGUAACACGUAGGAACGUACCCCAAAGUGAGGGAUAAGCACCAGAAAUGGUGUCUAAUACCGCAUGUGAUCUUCGGAUUAAAGCUCCGGCGCUUUGGGAACGGCCUGCGCAUGAUUAGUUAGUUGGUGAGGUAAUGGCUCACCAAGACGAUGAUCAUUAGCUGGUCUGAGAGGAUGACCAGCCAGACUGGAACUGAGAACGGUCCAGACUCCUACGGGAGGCAGCAGUAGGGAAUUUUCCACAAUGGACGAAAGUCUGAUGGAGCAACGCCGCGUGCAGGAUGAAGGCUCUAGGGUCGUAAACUGCUUUUAUAUGUGACGAUUAUGACGGUAGCAUAUGAAUAAGGAUCGGCUAACUCCGUGCCAGCAGCCG
rnacentral:rRNA from 1 species